CCUACGGGCGGCAGCAGUGGGGAAUAUUGGGCAAUGGACGCAAGUCUGACCCAGCAACGCCGCGUGAAGGAAGAAGGCUUUCGGGUUGUAAACUUCUUUUAAGGGGGAAGAGCAGAAGACGGUACCCCUUGAAUAAGCCACGGCUAACUACGUGCCAGCAGCCGCGGUCAUACGUAGGAUCCGAGCAUUAUCCGGAGUGACUGGGUGUAAAGAGUUGCGUAGGUGGCAUAAUAAGUAGCUAGUGAAAUCUGGUGGCUCAACCAUUCAGACUAUUAGCUAAACUGUUAAGCUCGAGACCGUUAGGGGUAACUGGAAUUUCUAGUGUAGGAGUGAAAUCCGUAGAUAUUAGAAAGAACACCGAUAGCGUAGGCAGGUUACUGGGACGGUUCUGACACUAAGGCACGAAAGCGUAGGGAGCAAACGGGAUUAGAUACCCGGGUAGUC
rnacentral:rRNA from 1 species